rnacentral:rRNA from 1 species
CAGUAGCCGCGGUAAUGCGAAGGGUGCAAGCGUUACUCGGAAUUACUGGGCGUAAAGCGUGUGUAGGUGGUUGUUUAAGCCUGUCGUGAAAGCCCUGGGCUCAACCUGGGAAUUGCGAUGGAUACUGGGCGACUAGAGUGCGGUAGAGGAUAGUGGAAUUUCCGGUGUAGCAGUGAAAUGCGUAGAGAUCGGAAGGAACAUCUGUGGCGAAGGCGACUAUCUGGGCCAACACUGACACUGAGGCACGAAAGCGUGGGGAGCAAACAGGAUUAGAUACCCCGGUAGUCCCUGUCUCUUAUAU